UCGCCGGCGAGGCGCGGGAACUGCGUCGUCAAUUUGCCGAAGUGACUCAGGGCCGUGCGUUCCUGUUGCAGGGCGGCGAU
rnacentral:tRNA from 1 species